rnacentral:rRNA from 1 species
AUUGAACGCUGGCGGCAUGCUUUACACAUGCAAGUCGAACGGCAGCGCGGGGCAACCUGGCGGCGAGUGGCGAACGGGUGAGUAAUAUAUCGGAACGUACCCAAGAGUGGGGGAUAACGUAGCGAAAGUUACGCUAAUACCGCAUACGAUCCAAGGAUGAAAGCAGGGGACCGCAAGGCCUUGUGCUCCUGGAGCGGCCGAUAUCUGAUUAGCUAGUUGGUAGGGUAAAGGCCUACCAAGGCUACGAUCAGUAGCUGGUCUGAGAGGACGACCAGCCACACUGGAACUGAGACACGGUCCAGACUCCUACGGGAGGCAGCAGUGGGGAAUUUUGGACAAUGGGCGCAAGCCUGAUCCAGCAAUGCCGCGUGAGUGAAGAAGGCCU